GAUGAACGCUGGCGGCGUGCCUAAUACAUGCAAGUAGAACGCUGAAGGAAGGAGCUUGCUCUUUCCGGAUGAGUUGCGAACGGGUGAGUAACGCGUAGGUAACCUGCCUGGUAGCGGGGGAUAACUAUUGGAAACGAUAGCUAAUACCGCAUAACAGUAGAUGUUGCAUGAUAUCUACUUAAAAGGUGCAAUUGCACCACUACCAGAUGGACCUGCGUUGUAUUAGCUAGUUGGUGAGGUAACGGCUCACCAAGGCGACGAUACAUAGCCGACCUGAGAGGGUGAUCGGCCACACUGGGACUGAGACACGGCCCAGACUCCUACGGGAGGCAGCAGUAGGGAAUCUUCGGCAAUGGACGGAAGUCUGACCGAGCAACGCCGCGUGAGUGAAGAAGGGUUUCGGAUCGUAAAGCUCUGUUGUAAGAGAAGAACGAGUGUGAGAGUGGAAAGUUCACACUGUGACGGUAGCUUACCAGAAAGAGACGGCUAACUACGUG
rnacentral:rRNA from 1 species